GUGAAGAUACUGUUUUCUAUCCACGGUUGGUUGAAUCUGCAGGUAGGAAAUCGGGAUAGAAAGGGCUGGCUGUAUUUAUUUAUUUAUUUUUUAAAAAAAAAAACGUAUUUAAGAGGACCCAGACAGUUCACAUCUCUGUUUUUCAAGAGUUGACUGUGUAUGUACCCUUCCCUUAAUAACUGAAAGCUUCCUGGCAACUGAAUUCAUACUGUGUGAGAAGGAAAUGUUCGAGAGAGGUCUGAAAUGAUCACCUGACAGCCAACUGCUGAGGACUACUGUGUGUGGGGACAUGAAGAAUUUGGCACAAGCAGCCCGACGUCACAUUGUGCUUUCAGCCAUCGUCACUGUCAUGUUUAUAAAAAUAGAUAAAAGCGUGAAGGAGUAUGGAUGUUUUCUGGCUGCUUCAGAUCAUAUACUCAGGGACAUGAAGGACUGCCAGGUUUGUGUGGGG